GGGUCUGUGUGGUGUGUGUUGGGUCUGUGUGGUGUGUGUUGGGUGUGUGUGGUGUGUGUUGGGUCUGUGUGGUGUGUGUUGGGUCUGUGUGGUGUGUGUUGGGUCUGUGUGGUGUGUGUUGGGUCUGUGUGGUGUGUGUUGGGUGUGUGUUGGGUGUGUGUGGUGUGUGUUGGGUCUGUGUGGUGUGUGUUGGGUCUGUGUGGUGUGUGUUGGGUCUGUGUGGUGUGUGUUGGGUCUGUGUGGUGUGUGUUGGGUCUGUGUGGUGUGUGUUGGGUCUGUGUGGUGUGUGUUGGGUGUGUGUUGGGUGUGUGUGGUGUGUGUUGGGUCUGUGUAUGGUGUGUGUUGGGUGUGUGUGGUGUGUGUUGGGUCUGUGUAUGGUGUGUGGGGUGUGUGUUGGGUGUGUGUGGUGUGUGUUGGGUCUGUGUAUGGUGUGUGGGGUGUGUGUUGGGUGUGUGUGGUGUGUGUUGGGUCUGUGUGGACGGGGUGGACGGAUGAAUGAAUUCAAGGUAAAAGCGGUGAGCUUAUAGGAGCUUAUAUAUACUUAUAUUCAGCUCUGUAAAUAAAUGAAGAGAUCACUUCAGUUUCUGAAUCAGUUUCUCUGAUUUUGCUAUUUAUAGGUUUAUGUUUGAGUAAAAUGAACAUUGUUGUUUUAUUCUAUAAACUACAGACAACAUUUCUCCCAAAUUACAAAUAAAAAUAUUCUCAUUUAGAGCAUUUAUUUACAGAAAAUGAGAAAUGACUGAAAUAACAAAAAAGAUGCAGAACUUUCAGACCUCAAAUAAUGCAAAGAAAACAAGUUCAUAUUCAUAAAGUUUUAUAUGAGUUCAGGUUUUUAAUCACAGUUUUUUUCAUGCAUCUUGGCAUCAUGUUCUCUUCCUCCACCAGUCUUACACACUGCUUUUGGAUAACUUUAUGCUGCUUUACUCCUGGUGCAAAAAUUCAAGC